GAUGAACGCUAGCGGCGGGCUUAAUACAUGCAAGUCAAGGGGUAGCAAUACACCGGCGUACGGGUGCGUAACGCGUAUGGAACCUGCCCUUAUCUGGGGGAUAACUCGGGGAAACUCGAGCUAAUACCGCAUAAGAUAGUAGAGAGGCAUCUUUCAGCUAUUAAAGAUUUAUCGGAUAGGGAUGGCAAUGCGUAAGAUUAGAUAGUUGGUGAGGUAACGGCUCAACAAGUCUACGAUCUUUAGGGGCUCUGAGAGGAGAAUCCCCCACACUGGAACUGAGAUACGGGCCAGACUCCUACGGGAGGCAGCAGUAGGGAAUAUUGGGCAAUGGGCGGAAGCCUGACCCAGCCACGCCGCGUGCAGGAAGACGGCCCUCUGGGUUGUAAACUGCUUUUAACUGGGAAGAAAGCAGCUCAUGCGUGAGAAUUUGACGGUACCAGUUGAAUAAGCCACGGCUAACUACGUGCCAGCAGCCGCCGUAACAC
rnacentral:rRNA from 1 species